rnacentral:rRNA from 1 species
UACGUAGGGGGCAAGCGUUGUCCGGAAUCAUUGGGCGUAAAGCGCGCGUAGGCGGCCCGGUAAGUCCGUUGUAAAAGUCGAAGGCUCAACCUUCGAAAGCCGAUGGAUACUGCCGGGCUAGAGUCCGGAAGAGGCGAGUGGAAUUCCUGGUGUAGCGGUGGAAUGCGCAGAUAUCAGGAGGAACACCGGUGGCGAAGGCGGGUCUCUGGGCCGUAACUGACGCUGAGGAGCGAAAGCAUGGGGAGCGAACAGG